GGGUGAUGAGCUCAGCUGGGAGAGCAUCGGCCUUACAAGCAGAGGGUGGGCGGUUCGAUCCCGUCAUCACCCA
rnacentral:tRNA from 1 species